rnacentral:rRNA from 1 species
ACUAUCGUUAACUGAAUACAUAGGUUAACGAGGCGAACCGGGGGAACUGAAACAUCUAAGUACCCCGAGGAAAAGAAAUCAACCGAGAUUCCCCCAGUAGCGGCGAGCGAACGGGGAGCAGCCCAGAGUCUGAAUCAGCUUGUGUGUUAGUGGAACGGUCUGGAAAGUCCGACGGUACAGGGUGAUAGUCCCGUACACCAAAAUGCACAGGCUGUGAACUCGAAGAGUAGGGCGGGACACGUGGUAUCCUGUCUGAAUAUGGGGGGACCAUCCUCCAAGGCUAAAUACUCCUGACUGACCGAUAGUGAACCAGUACCGUGAGGGAAAGGCGAAAAGAACCCCGGCGAGGGGAGUGAAAAAGAACCUGAAACCGUGUACGUACAAGCAGUGGGAGCACCUUCGGGUGUGACUGCGUACCUUUUGUAUAAUGGGUCAGCGACUUAUAUUCUGUAGCAAGGUUAACCGUAUAGGGGAGCCGCAGGGAAACCGAGUCUUAACUGGGCGUUAAGUUGCAGGGUAUAGACCCGAAACCCGGUGAUCUAGCCAUGGGCAGGUUGAAGGUUGGGUAACACUAACUGGAGGACCGAACCGACUAAUGUUGAAAAAUUAGCGGAUGACUUGUGGCUGGGGGUGAAAGGCCAAUCAAACCGGGAGAUA